rnacentral:lncRNA from 1 species
AGGAUCAGUACUGGGUUCAGGUACAUGAUCCUCUCCCUGAAGGAGGUAAAGUAUGACGGGAACUAAAAAAAAAAAAAACGAAAAGUCACAUGUUAGAGCUUGAACAAAGGUCAUGUCCAGGGAUGAAUCUCUAAGGAUGGAUUUGUUUGAGGUCAUGUAGGUGUUGUCACAGUCAUUGGUAGGGAAGAACUUUGGGGAAGAGUUAGAUGGGUUACUAUGAUAAUCAGAGCUGUCAUUCACUGAUGAUUAUGCUUUGUUAUAUGUUUUUUAUAUGCUAG